rnacentral:rRNA from 1 species
GCUUGUCUCAAAGAUUAAGCCAUGCAUAUCUAAGAAUAACUAACAUUAUCUUGAAUCUGUGAAUGGCUCAUUAUAUCAGUUAUAGUUUACAUGAUAGUCAAUACUACUUGGAUAACCGUAGUAAUUCUAGAGCUAAUACGUGCGUAAAUCCCGACUCCUGGAAGGGACGUAUUUAUUAGAUUUAAGGCCAACCGAGCUUGCUCGUCUCUUGGUGAAUCAUGAUAACUUCACGAAUCGCAUGGCCUCGCGCCGGCGAUAUUUCAUUCAAAUUUCUGCCCUAUCAAUUGGCGAUGGUAGGAUAGAGGCCUACCAUGGUGUUAACGGGUGACGGGGGAUUAGGGUUCGAUUCCGGAGAGGCAGCCUGAGAAACGGCUACCACAUCCAAGGAAGGCAGCAGG